rnacentral:rRNA from 1 species
GAGUCUAGCAUGUGCGCGAGUCAUUGGGAUUCCGAUAAACCUAAAGGCGCAAUGAAAGUGAAGGUCCGCCUCGCGCGGACCGAGGGAGGACGGGCCCGUUCACGGACGGGCCCUGCACUCCCGGGGCGUCUCGUUCUCAUCGCGAGAAGAGGCGCACCCAGAGCGUACACGCUGGGACCCGAAAGAUGGUGAACUAUGCCUGGUCAGGACGAAGUCAGGGGAAACCCUGAUGGAGGUCCGUAGCGAUUCUGACGUGCAAAUCGAUCGUCGGAACUGGGUAUAGGGGCGAAAGACUAAUCGAACCUUCUAGUAGCUGGUUCCCUCCGAAGUUUCCCUCAGGAUAGCUGGCGCUCGUCUUGCGAGUCUCAUUCGGUAAAGCGAAUGAUUAGAGGCAUUGGGGUCGAAACGGCCUCAACCUAUUCUCAAACUUUAAAUGGGUGAGAUCUCCGGCUUGCUUAAAGCAUGAAGCCGCGAGAGAUCGGAUCACAGAGUGCCAAGUGGGCCACUUUUGGUAAGCAGAACUGGCGCUGUGGGAUGAACCAAACGCCGAGUUAAAGCGCCAAAAUCGACGCUUAUGGGAUACCAUGAAAGGCGUUGGUAACUUAAGACAGCAGGACGGUGGCCAUGGAAGUCGGA